AGCGAACGCUGGCGGCAGGCCUAACACAUGCAAGCCGAACGAACCCUUCGGGGUUAGUGGCGGACGGGUGAGUAACACGUGGGAACGUGCCUUUAGGUUCGGAAUAACUCGGGGAAACUUGUGCUAAUACCGAAUGUGCCCUUCGGGGGAAAGAUUUAUCGCCUUUAGAGCGGCCCGCGUCUGAUUAGCUAGUUGGUGAGGUAAAGGCUCACCAAGGCUACGAUCAGUAGCUGGUCUGAGAGGAUGACCAGCCACAUUGGGACUGAGACACGGCCCAAACUCCUACGGGAGGCAGCAGUGGGGAAUCUUGCGCAAUGGGCGAAAGCCUGACGCAGCCAUGCCGCGUGGAUGAUGAAGGUCUUAGGAUUGUAAAAUCCUUUCACCGGUGAAGAUAAUGACUGUAGCCGGAGAAGAAGCCCCGGCUAACUUCGUGCCAGCCGCCGCGGUAAUAC
rnacentral:rRNA from 1 species